AUGGACCUUGGGCGCCUGAACUAUGGGAUCAUUACCCUCAUCCCAAAGGUUCCUGGGGCCUCGGACAUCCGCCAGUUCCGCCCGAUCACCGUGAUUAACGUGAUCUUCAGGAUCCUGGCCAAAGGGUACGCCAAUAGGGUGACCCUUCUUGCGGACUCUGUCACCCACCCCAACCAAUCCGCCUUCAUCCAAGGCCGAUUUAUUUUGGAUGGGGUGUUGGUCUUUCACGAAGUCCUCCAUGAAGUUCGAUCCAAGCACCACCGCGCAGUGUUCCUUAAGCUCGACUUUCACAAGGCCUACGACACGGUCCACUGGCCCUUCCUUCGGGAAGUAUUG
rnacentral:rRNA from 1 species